GAAUUUGAAGAAUUCUAAUAAACUUUCAAUGUUCAAGAUUUCUGAAAAUCUGACGAAGAAUGAUGAAUCCUUGUGAUGAAUGUGAAGAAGUUGGAACAGAGAAGGUUGAAUCUGAACCUACACAUGAAAACUCGAACUUUCUUCUAUAUUUCUAAAACUUUUGAUUCUUUAUCUUUCUAUUAAGAAGUCAAUGUUUUUAAGUUAUAUAAUCCUAAAAAUAUGAUUUUAAUCUUAUCAAGCCAUGAGAAAUGUUAAUCAUGAGCUUUUUUAUAUAAAAUUCUUUAUCUAAUUGAGAUUUCGAAAGAAAGAAAGCUUUUAAUUUGAGAGUAAAGAUUUUAGUUUGUAUAACGAAGAUUUUAAUUUGGAAAAAAGGAAAUAAAACUAUAUAUCGUCUUUUUCAGACGAAGAAUGGGUUGAUUAUACUGUAACCCUAUUAAGUCUCCAGGUCUCAGCUUUUACGAGGACCGUCUCUACCCUGAUGUUCAUAUACUUCUCUGUCUGAUAGAUGUAAUGGAAUAGAUACUCUCCACCUGGUGAGAUCUUCUGAUGUCGUCUUCUUUCUUAAGAACUGUUCUAGAUUACUUUGGCCGUCUUCCACCAUCGUGACUCUACCUGAUCAUCAUCCUGAGCAUGUGAAUGUGACUCCACCUCCUCUGUUCUACAACUCGGAGUGCUGAUUGCUCCGAACGAGCUGCCUCCGACUGGAUACGCUGAUUUACGAGGACUUAUGUUGGAACGUCAUAUGCUUUAGACGUGUCCUGUUAAGAUUCCUCAAGAUCAGAGAACAAUAUCAAGGAUGUCGUCUUCCCCUUGUUUCUCUGAUACUCUCCUUCACUGCUUUAAGGAUCGCACCUAAAGACUAGAAAGGACUCUGAAUGAAGUAUAAGAUAUUCUCUCUCUAAACUGUAGCUCAUAUCAAGACCCCAGCCAGAGCAACUUUGUAAGUGUGUUUUAAAUAUUGAACAUUUUACUAAUAUGAUUUCUUUGUGAUUCAAAAACUAAAUUUCUUUAUUGA
rnacentral:lncRNA from 1 species